UACAAGCCAAUUGGCUUAUGCUCUGUCUGCC
rnacentral:piRNA from 1 species